AACGCAGCGAAAUGCGAUAAGUAGUGUGAAUUGCAGAAUUCAGUGAAUCAUCGAAUCUUUGAACGCACAUUGCGCCCCUUGGUAUUCCAUGGGGCAUGCCUGUUCGAGCGUCAUUUGUACCUUCAAGCUCUGCUUGGUGUUGGGUGUUUGUCUCGCCUCUGCGUGUAGACUCGCCUCAAAACAAUUGGCAGCCGGCGUAUUGAUUUCGGAGCGCAGUACAUCUCGCGCUUUGCACUCAUAACGACGACGUCCAAAAGUACAUUUUUACACUCUUGACCUCGGAUCAGGUAGGGAUACCCGCUGAACUUAAGCAUAUCAAUAAGCGGAGGAA
rnacentral:rRNA from 1 species